GAUGAACGCUAGCGGGAGGCUUAACACAUGCAAGUCGUGGGGCAGCACGGGGUAGCAAUACUCUGGUGGCGACCGGCGCACGGGUGAGUAACGCGUAUGCAACCUACCCAGUACAGGGGGAUAGCCCGGAGAAAUUCGGAUUAAUACCCCAUAAUGAUAUUAAGAGGCAUCUUUUAAUAUUUAAAGCUUCGGCGGUACUGGAUGGGCAUGCGUAAGAUUAGCUAGUUGGUAGGGUAACGGCCUACCAAGGCGCCGAUCUUUAGGGGUCCUGAGAGGGUGAUCCCCCACACUGGUACUGAGACACGGACCAGACUCCUGCGGGAGGCAGCAGUGAGGAAUAUUGGUCAAUGGCGCAAGCCUGAACCAGCCAUCCCGCGUGAAGGAAGAAGGCGCUAUGCGUUGUAAACUUCUUUUCCGGAGGAAUAAAAUCUUGUACGCGUACAGGACUGAAGGUACUCCGGGAAUAAGCAUCGGCUAACUCCGUGCCAGCCGCCGCGGUAAUAC
rnacentral:rRNA from 1 species